rnacentral:rRNA from 1 species
UCAGGCCUAACACAUGCAAGUCGAGCGGCAGCGGGAAAGUAGCUUGCUACUUUUGCCGGCGAGCGGCGGACGGGUGAGUAAUGCCUGGGAAAUUGCCCAGUCGAGGGGGAUAACAGUUGGAAACGACUGCUAAUACCGCAUACGCCCUACGGGGGAAAGCAGGGGACCUUCGGGCCUUGCGCGAUUGGAUAUGCCCAGGUGGGAUUAGCUAGUUGGUGAGGUAAUGGCUCACCAAGGCGACGAUCCCUAGCUGGUCUGAGAGGAUGAUCAGCCACACUGGGACUGAGACACGGUCCAGACUCCUACGGGAGGCAGCAGUGGGGAAUAUUGCACAAUGGGGGAAACCCUGAUGCAGCCAUGCCGCGUGUGUGAAGAAGGCCUUCGGGUUGUAAAGCACUUGAGCGAGGAGGAAAUGUUGAUGCCUAAUACGUAUC